rnacentral:rRNA from 1 species
UACGUAGGGUGCGAGCGUUAAUCGGAAUUACUGGGCGUAAAGCGUGCGUAGACGGUUAUGUAAGUCGGGUGUGAAAGCCCCGGGCUCAACCUGGGAAUUGCAUUCGAGACUGAAUAGCUAGGGUACGGUAGAGGGAAGUGGAAUUUCCGGUGUAGCGGUGAAAUGCGUAGAUAUCGGAAGGAACAUCAGUGGCGAAAGCGACUUCCUGGACCAGUACCGACGUUCAGGCACGAAAGCGUGGGGAGCAAACAGG